rnacentral:rRNA from 1 species
AUUGAACGCUGGCGGGAUGCUUUACACAUGCAAGUCGAACGGCAGCACGGGGCAACCUGGUGGCGAGUGGCGAACGGGUGAGUAAUACAUCGGAACGUGCCCAAUCGUGGGGGGAUAACGUAGCGAAAGUUACGCUAAUACCGCAUACGAUCUACGGAUGAAAGCGGGGGAUCGCAAGACCUCGCGCGAAUGGAGCGGCCGAUGUCAGAUUAGGUAGUUGGUGGGGUAAAGGCUCACCAAGCCAACGAUCUGUAGCUGGUCUGAGAGGACGACCAGCCACACUGGAACUGAGACACGGUCCAGACUCCUACGGGAGGCAGCAGUGGGGAAUUUUGGACAAUGGGCGCAAGCCUGAUCCAGCCAUUCCGCGUGCAGGAUGAAGGCCGUCGGGUUGUAAACUGCUUUUGUACGGAACGAACGGCUCUCUCUAAUACAGGGGGCUAAUGACGGUACCGUAAGAAUAAGCACCGGCUAACUACGUG